GGACCUACGGGACGCAGCAGUGGGGAAUAUUGCACAAUGGGGGAAACCCUGAUGCAGCGACGCCGCGUGAGUGAAGAAGUAUUUCGGUAUGUAAAGCUCUAUCAGCAGGGAAGAAGAAAGACGGUACCUGACUAAGAAGCCCCGGCUAACUACGUGCCAGCAGCCGCGGUAAUACGUAGGGGGCAAGCGUUAUCCGGAUUUACUGGGUGUAAAGGGAGCGUAGACGGCUGUGCAAGUCUGAAGUGAAAGCCCGCGGCUCAACCGCGGAACUGCUUUGGAAACUUUUUUGCUGGAGUACCGGAGAG
rnacentral:rRNA from 1 species